GAUAUCCACCCUCCAAUUACAGGAGCCUGGAGCCUGACUCUGGAACCUUUGAAGCUUUGUUAUAUUCCUGGUAAAGAGACACUUUUUGAAACCUGCAAGGGAGGGUGAUAUUUCUAAGGUUCGAGAAAGUGUGAACUUUGGCACUGAACAUAUUAUGCUAUUCAGUUGUACUUCCUGAAGUUUAUGCUUAAUGUAGGCAUGGUGCUGCUAUUGUAAAACACGCUUUUGAAUCAAAGAAGAAAGAGGAAGUAUCUCGAUAAAGACUAUAAACUUUGAAGACAAGUAGAAUGUCUUAUCACCAAGGAUGAGAUCAUUGUUGAUAUCCAUCCUCCUGUGACGUUAUUCAAGAAAUUGAUUUUACCAAUUACAAUCCAGUUUCAUAAUUUAGAUGGAAUUUUGCCAUAAAAGGUUUGCUAAUUAUUUGGCCAAAACAACUUAUAUGUUGAAUGAAAUUCUUUGAGAAAGUGAGAAGUUUAAAUCUCCAGAAUAGUAUGGAUUUGUCUUCUCUAAAUGAAGAUUUCCUACCAGUUGACUCUUAUUAGCAACUAUGGUUAACUCAAACAGAUGACUAAUCCCCAUUUAUCCAUUCAGUGUCCUGCGUGAAUUCAUGACAUAAAUGCCAUACAUAACAUCCUAA